rnacentral:rRNA from 1 species
UCGAGGAUCUUCGGCAAUGGGCGCAAGCCUGACCGAGCGACGCCGCGUGUGCGAUGAAGGCCUUCGGGUUGUAAAGCACUGUCGUGGGGGAGAAAACCCGCAAGGGUUGAUCGACCCCAGGAGGAAGCACGGGCUAAGUUCGUGCCAGCAGCCGCGGUAAGACGAACCGUGCGAACGUUGUUCGGAAUCACUGGGCUUAAAGGGCGCGUAGGCGGGCUCGCAAGUCCGGGGUGAAAGCCCCCAGCUCAACUGGGGAAGCGCCUUGGAUACUGCGGGCCUCGAGGGGGGUAGGGGCGUGCGGAACUUCCGGUGGAGCGGUGAAAUGCGUAGAUAUCGGAAGGAACACCGGUGGCGAAAGCGGCGCGCUGGACCCCUUCUGACGCUGAGGCGCGAAAGCCAGGGGAGCAAACGG